UAUUAUGUUGAUUGUUGUUGGUACAUAAAACAUGUUUAUAGGUUUCACGUCAGAACAUCAUAACUGUCCAAAUUAAACUAUUUGAGAACACAAUUUUUGCACGGGUACAACAACAAUGAGAAUGGUAGACCAUCACAUUUUGGUUCCCACGUAAUCCUUUUGACGAUUGGACUAACUCAAGUGGGUCCAGGCCAGCCAAAUGGACACUAACCUUC
rnacentral:lncRNA from 1 species